AUACGUAGGGGGCGAGCGUUGUCCGGAUUUACUGGGCGUAAAGGGUGCGUAGGUGGUUUCUUAAGUCAGAAGUGAAAGGCUACGGCUCAACCGUAGUAAGCUUUUGAAACUAAGAGACUUGAGUGCAGGAGAGGAGAGUAGAAUUCCUAGUGUAGCGGUGAAAUGCGUAGAUAUUAGGAGGAAUACCGGUUGCGAAGGCGGCUCUCUGGAUGGUAACUGACACUGAGGCACGAAAGCGUGGGGAGCAAACAGGAUUAGAUACCCUGGUAGUCCACGCCGUAAACGAUGAGUACUAGCUGUCGGGGGUUACCCCCCUCGGUGGCGCAGCUAACGCAUUAAGUACUCCGCCUGGGAAGUACGCUCGCAAGAGUGAAACUCAAAUGAAUUGACGGGG
rnacentral:rRNA from 1 species